rnacentral:rRNA from 1 species
GAUGAACGCUGGCGGCGUGCCUAAUACAUGCAAGUCGAGCGAACGGACGAGAAGCUUGCUUCUCUGAUGUUAGCGGCGGACGGGUGAGUAACACGUGGAUAACCUACCUAUAAGACUGGGAUAACUUCGGGAAACCGGAGCUAAUACCGGAUGAUAUUUUGAACCGCAUGGUUCAAAAGUGAAAGACGGUCUUGCUGUCACUUAUAGAUGGAUCCGCGCUGCAUUAGCUAGUUGGUAAGGUAACGGCUUACCAAGGCAACGAUGCAUAGCCGACCUGAGAGGGUGGUCGGCCACCCUGGAACUGAGACACGGUCCAGACUCCUACGGGAGGCAGCAGUAGGGAAUCUUCCGCAAUGGGCGAGAGCCUGACGGAGCAACGCCGCGUGAGUGAUGAAGGUCUUCGGAUCGUAAAACUCUGUUAUUAGGGAAGAACAUAUGUGUAAGUAACUGUGCACAUCUUGACGGUACCUAAUCAGAAAGCCACGGCUAACUACGUG